GCAAUUCGAUGUGGUAAACUACUUUUGGAGUCAGUUUCUUUGUAGAUCAUUUUGAUAUUCGCCUCACAUAGUAGGUAGCUCCUAAAUCUGAGCUGGUAGAUCCAGAAAAAAAUCCUAAAAGCCAUGACAUCAUAAUAUAUGUGGAAUCAAAUCAGUACAUAGUUGAGUUUAUUUGUGAGUAGAAUUAGCACUUGCUGCAUGGUAUAAGGAGAGAGAGAAAGACAUGAAGAUGACAAAACCCUCUCUAGUUAAUUAGGAUAAUCCAUGUAAUACAACAGUUUGGUUUACUUGAGAAACGAAGCAUCAAUCAUUGAUCAUGCCUGUUGGGAUAAAAGCAACAGUAACAGUUACCACUUGCUACAAAAUACAAAGAGAAACAUAAACACAUUAAGAUGAUGAAACUUGGCGUUCUAAUUUUCCUUGCUUCUGCAAUAGAACAGAUAGCUUGUCGUGUGGGUAUCAAUUCUGAAAUUUUAUCGAAACAUACAUUUAUCAUAUUAACUAUAUGAGUGCACCAACUGAUAAGCAAACCCAUAAAUUCGAUCACCUCUAAAUCAAGAGAUGAUGUUUAUUCUAUAUGCGCAACUAUCAAAAGCCUCACAUAGAGGGCAACUCCCUGGAUUUAGGUCAGAAGCCAAACUUCACAAUUUCUUGAACACAUAGAGCAACUCCCAGGAUUUAGGUGAGAAACCAAAAUUCACAAUUCCUCGACAAAUAGAGAGAAACUUGCAGGAUUCAGAAGGGGGUGGGAAGAAUUGGGAGAAAGCUGCAUGGUAUUUAUGCUGACCCCUUUGCGCUCAGAGGAUAGCUGGUGAUCAGCACGUCCUAAUUGAAGUCGGUGGCAAGUUCUAGGUCAUGCCGCUUGGGAGGAACAUGUAUGGUGGACGUCUAGCCACGAUGAACUUUUUCUUGUCAUGAUUACCUUUAGCCUGGCCGUCCCCUUCCAUCUAUGAUGGCAUCAAUGAUUACUCUCAUUCUCAAUGCGCUCCUGCAGGAACCUAGCAUGUAGCAAAUCCAGCGAGAUGCGCACGCACGCGCGCCUCCCUGAGAACAUGGGAGAGAAGAUAGGAGGUAUGAUGCACUUCGUGUGGCGGCAGCAACAUGAGCUCAGAGCUUUUUGUACAAAUCUGAGAGGAUGGCAAUGACCUGACAUCGAGAGAGAAAGAAAAGAGAAUACGUAGACAAUAGGAAUUGUGGAGAUGGGAGUAGAGAUCGGAAGAAAAACACACCUCAAGGAUAGCAGCGGAGAGUCCGAACAGAAGCGUCGCGCAGAGGAGAGCAGCGGCCGCCUAGCUUGAGAGCGCCAUGGAAGGGUCGUGUACGAAAGGGAGGAGAAAAGCACCGGCUAGAUCUAGGAUGGAGGUCUG
rnacentral:lncRNA from 1 species